rnacentral:rRNA from 1 species
UACGAAGGGGGCUAGCGUUGCUCGGAAUUACUGGGCGUAAAGGGCGCGUAGGCGGAUAGUUCAGUCGGGGGUGAAAGCCCGGGGCUCAACCUCGGAACUGCCUUCGAUACUGGCUACCUUGAGUACGGGAGAGGUGUGUGGAACUCCGAGUGUAGAGGUGAAAUUCGUAGAUAUUCGGAAGAACACCAGUGGCGAAGGCGACACACUGGCCCGUUACUGACGCUGAGGCGCGAAAGCGUGGGGAGCAAACAGG